rnacentral:rRNA from 1 species
UUGAACGCUGGCGGCAGGCCUAACACAUGCAAGUCGCACGGUAACAGGAAGAAGCUUGCUUCUUUGCUGACGAGUGGCGGACGGGUGAGUAAUGUCUGGGAAACUGCCUGAUGGAGGGGGAUAACUACUGGAAACGGUAGCUAAUACCGCAUAACGUCGCAAAACCAAAGAGGGGGACCUUCGGGCCUCUUGCCAUCGGAUGUGCCCAGAUGGGAUUAGCUAGUAGGUGGGGUAACGGCUCACCUAGGCGACGAUCCCUAGCUGGUCUGAGAGGAUGACCAGCCACACUGGAACUGAGACACGGUCCAGACUCCUACGGGAGGCAGCAGUGGGGAAUAUUGCACAAUGGGCGCAAGCCUGAUGCAGCCAUGCCGCGUGUAUGAAGAAGGCCUUCGGGUUGUAAAGUACUUUCAGCGGGGAGGAAGGGAGUAAAGUUAAUACCUUUGCUCAUUGACGUUACCCGCAGAAGAAGCACCGGCUAACUCCGUG